rnacentral:tRNA from 1 species
GAGGGUAUAGCUCAAGUGGUAGAGCACAUGCUUAGCAUGCAGAGGUCCUGGGUUCAAUCCCUAGUACCGCCU